CUAAAGGUGGCGCAGUUGUUAGCACUGCUGCCUUGUAAUAAGGAGGUUCUGGGUUUGAAUCCCAGCUGUCCAG